GGACGAACGCUGGCGGCGUGCCUAAUACAUGCAAGUAGAACGCUGAAGAGAGGAGCUUGCUCUUCUUGGAUGAGUUGCGAACGGGUGAGUAACGCGUAGGUAACCUGCCUUGUAGCGGGGGAUAACUAUUGGAAACGAUAGCUAAUACCGCAUAACAAUGGAUGACACAUGUCAUUUAUUUGAAAGGGGCAAUUGCUCCACUACAAGAUGGACCUGCGUUGUAUUAGCUAGUAGGUGAGGUAAUGGCUCACCUAGGCGACGAUACAUAGCCGACCUGAGAGGGUGAUCGGCCACACUGGGACUGAGACACGGCCCAGACUCCUACGGGAGGCAGCAGUAGGGAAUCUUCGGCAAUGGGGGCAACCCUGACCGAGCAACGCCGCGUGAGUGAAGAAGGUUUUCGGAUCGUAAAGCUCUGUUGUAAGUCAAGAACGGGUGUGAGAGUGGAAAGUUCACACUGUGACGGUAGCUUACCAGAAAGGGACGGCUAACUACGUGCCAGCAGCCGCGGUAAUACGUAGGUCCCGAGCGUUGUCCGGAUUUAUUGGGCGUAAAGCGAGCGCAGGCGGUUUGAUAAGUCUGAAGUUAAAGGCUGUGGCUCAACCAUAGUUCGCUUUGGAAACUGUCAAACUUGAGUGCAGAAGGGGAGAGUGGAAUUCCAUGUGUAGCGGUGAAAUGCGUAGAUAUAUGGAGGAACACCGGUGGCGAAAGCGGCUCUCUGGUCUGUAACUGACGCUGAGGCUCGAAAGCGUGGGGAGCGAACAGGAUUAGAUACCCUGGUAGUCCACGCCGUAAACGAUGAGUGCUAGGUGUUGGAUCCUUUCCGGGAUUCAGUGCCGCAGCUAACGCAUUAAGCACUCCGCCUGGGGAGUACGACCGCAAGGUUGAAACUCAAAGGAAUUGACGGGGGCCCGCACAAGCGGUGGAGCAUGUGGUUUAAUUCGAAGCAACGCGAAGAACCUUACCAGGUCUUGACAUCCCGAUGCUAUUUCUAGAGAUAGAAAGUUACUUCGGUACAUCGGUGACAGGUGGUGCAUGGUUGUCGUCAGCUCGUGUCGUGAGAUGUUGGGUUAAGUCCCGCAACGAGCGCAACCCCUAUUGUUAGUUGCCAUCAUUCAGUUGGGCACUCUAGCGAGACUGCCGGUAAUAAACCGGAGGAAGGUGGGGAUGACGUCAAAUCAUCAUGCCCCUUAUGACCUGGGCUACACACGUGCUACAAUGGUUGGUACAACGAGUUGCGAGUCGGUGACGGCGAGCUAAUCUCUUAAAGCCAAUCUCAGUUCGGAUUGUAGGCUGCAACUCGCCUACAUGAAGUCGGAAUCGCUAGUAAUCGCGGAUCAGCACGCCGCGGUGAAUACGUUCCCGGGCCUUGUACACACCGCCCGUCACACCACGAGAGUUUGUAACACCCGAAGUCGGUGAGGUAACCUUUUGGAGCCAGCCGCCUAAGGUGGGACAGAUGAUUGGGGGUGA
rnacentral:rRNA from 1 species